rnacentral:rRNA from 1 species
UACGUAGGGGGCUAGCGUUGUCCGGAAUCAUUGGGCGUAAAGAGCGUGUAGGCGGCUUGGUAAGUCCGCUGUGAAAGUCCAGGGCUCAACCCUGGAAAGCCAGUGGAAACUGUCAAGCUAGAGUCCGGAAGAGGCGAGUGGAACUCCUGGUGUAGCGGUGAAAUGCGCUGAUAUCAGGAAGAACACCCGUGGCUAAGGCGGCUCUCUAGUACGGUACUGACGCUGAGACGCGAAAGCGUGGGGAGCGAACAGG